CUUGCCGAUCUUGGAAAGGGUAGAUCGUCCUGCCAUUUUUAUCAGUCACUGUGUGUUUAGAAAAUCGCAGGACAGAUAUGAAUGGCAUAAUAGACUACCGACAGCUGCCAAUAGAAAAA
rnacentral:precursor_RNA from 10 species